rnacentral:lncRNA from 1 species
UUGAUGUUUUGAAUUGAACUGUCAAGAGACGCUUUUCUGACCGUUUGGUCUUUCCGUCUCUCUACCUACCUUCCACGUCCUUUUCCGGUUUUGAAUUUGAACCAUCAAAGAAAGCGUUUCCCAACCUUUUCCGGUUUUGAAUUUGAACCAUCAAAGAAAGCGUUUCCCAAAAGACCGGUUUUGAAUUUGAACCAUCAAGGAAACCGUUUCCCA